AUUGAACGCUGGCGGCAUGCUUUACACAUGCAAGUCGAACGGCAGCGCGGGCUUCGGCCUGGCGGCGAGUGGCGAACGGGUGAGUAAUACAUCGGAACGUGCCCAGUAGUGGGGGAUAGCUCGGCGAAAGCCGGAUUAAUACCGCAUACGACCUGAGGGUGAAAGCGGGGGAUCUUCGGACCUCGCGCUAUUGGAGCGGCCGAUGGCAGAUUAGCUAGUUGGUUGGGUAAAGGCCUACCAAGGCGACGAUCUGUAGCUGGUCUGAGAGGACGACCAGCCACAUGGGGACUGAGACACGGCCCAGACUCCUACGGGAGGCAGCAGUGGGGAAUUUUGGACAAUGGGCGAAAGCCUGAUCCAGCAAUGCCGCGUGUGUGAUGAAGGCCUUCGGGUUGUAAAGCACUUUUGGCGGGAACGAAAAGGACUGUGCCAAUACCACGGUUCGAUGACGGUACCCGCAGAAUAAGCACCGGCUAACUACGUG
rnacentral:rRNA from 1 species